rnacentral:rRNA from 1 species
AACCUCCGCAAUGUGAGAAAUCGCGACGGGGGGAUCCCAAGUGCCAUUCUUAACGGGAUGGCUUUUCAUUAGUGUAAAGAGCUUUUGGAAUAAGGGCUGGGCAAGACCGGUGCCAGCCGCCGCGGUAACACCGGCAGCUCUAGUGGUAGCAGUUUUUAUUGGGCCUAAAGCGUCCGUAGCCGGUUUAAUAAGUCUCUGGUGAAAUCCUGUAGCUUAACUGUGGGAAUUGCUGGAGAUACUAUUAGACUUGAGACCGGGAGAGGUUAGAGGUACUCCCAGGGUAGAGGUGAAAUUCUGUAAUCCUGGGAGGACCGCCUGUUGCGAAGGCGUCUAACUGGAACGGUUCUGACGGUGAGGGACGAAAGUUAGGGGCGCGAACCGGAUUAGAUACCCGGGUAGUCCUAACUGUAAACGAUGGGACUUGGUGUUGGGGUGGCUUUGAGCUGCUCCAGUGCCGAAGGGAAGCUGUUAAGUCCGCCGCCUGGGAAGUACGGUCGAAAGACUGAAACUUAAAGGAAGU